GAUGAACGCUGGCGGUGUGCCUAAUACAUGCAAGUCGAGCGAACGGACGAGAAGCUUGCUUUUCUGAUGUUAGCGGCGGACGGGUGAGUAACACGUGGAUAACCUACCUAUAAGACUGGGAUAACUUCGGGAAACCGGAGCUAAUACCGGAUAAUAUUUUGAACCGCAUGGUUCAAAAGUGAAAGACGGUCUUGCUGUCACUUAUAGAUGGAUCCGCGCUGCAUUAGCUAGUUGGUAAGGUAACGGCUUACCAAGGCAACGAUGCAUAGCCGACCUGAGAGGGUGAUCGGCCACACUGGAACUGAGACACGGUCCAGACUCCUACGGGAGGCAGCAGUAGGGAAUCUUCCGCAAUGGGCGAAAGCCUGACGGAGCAACGCCGCGUGAGUGAUGAAGGUCUUCGGAUCGUAAAACUCUGUUAUUAGGGAAGAACAUAUGUGUAAGUAACUGUGCACAUCUUGACGGUACCUAAUCAGAAAGCCACGGCUAACUACGUG
rnacentral:rRNA from 1 species